AAGAUUUUAGUUUAUGUUAAAAUAAUUUAUUUACAAUAAAUAGAAUAAUUAAAAAAAUUUUAAAUUAAAAUUUUAUAUAUUUGA
rnacentral:tRNA from 1 species